GACGAACGCUGGCGGCGUGCCUAAUAUAUGCAAGUCGAACGAGUGGCGGACGGGUGAGUAACCCUUGGGAACCUACCCAUCAGAGGGGGAUAACACUUGGACACAUGUGCUAAUACCGCAUACUGUUUGAUGGUCCCGCGGUGCAUUAGCUAGUAGGUGGGGUAACGGCUAACCUAGGCGACGAUCUCUAGCUGGUCUGAGAGGAAGAUCAGCCAAACUGGGACUGAGACACGGCCCAGACUCCUACGGGAGGCAGCAGUGGGGAAUAUUGCACAAUGGGCGCAAGCCUGAGGCAGCCAUGCCGCGUGAAUGAAGAAGGCCUUAGGGUUGUAAAGUACUUUCAGCGGGGAGGCGUUACCCGCAGAAGAAGCACCGGCUAACUCCGUGCCAGCCGCCGCGGUAAUUC
rnacentral:rRNA from 1 species